rnacentral:rRNA from 1 species
UACGUAGGGGGCAAGCGUUGUCCGGAAUCAUUGGGCGUAAAGCGCGUGUAGGCGGCCCAGUAAGUCCGCUCUGAAAGCCCGGGGCUCAACCCCGGGAGGCGGGUGGAUACUGCUGGGCUCGAGUUCGGAAGAGGCGAGUGGAAUUCCCGGUGUAGCGGUGAAAUGCGCAGAUAUCGGGAGGAACACCAAUGGCGAAGGCAGCUCGCUGGGACGUAACUGACGCUGAGACGCGAAAGCGUGGGGAGCAAACAGG